CUGGAAAGUGCGGCCAUAGUGGGUGAUAGCCCCGUACGCGAAAGGAUCUUUGAAGUGAAAUCGAGUAGGACGGAGCACGAGAAACUUUGUCUGAACAUGGGGGGACCAUCCUCCAAGGCUAAAUACUACUGACUGACCGAUAGUGAACCAGUACCGUGAGGGAAAGGCGAAAAGAACCCCGGAGAGGGGAGUGAAAUAGAACCUGAAACCGUAUGCGUACAAGCAGUGGGAGCCUACUUGUUAGGUGACUGCGUACCUUUUGUAUAAUGGGUCAGCGACUUAUAUUCAGUGGCAAGCUUAACCGUAUAGGGUAGGCGUAGCGAAAGCGAGUCUUAAUAGGGCGUUUAGUCGCUGGGUAUAGACCCGAAACCGGGCGAUCUAUCCAUGAGCAGGUUGAAGGUUAGGUAACACUGACUGGAGGACCGAACCCACUCCCGUUGAAAAGGUAGGGGAUGACUUGUGGAUCGGAGUGAAAGGCUAAUCAAGCUCGGAGAUAGCUGGUUCUCCUCGAAAGCUAUUUAGGUAGCGCCUCAUGUAUCACUCUGGGGGGUAGAGCACUGUUUCGGCUAGGGGGUCAUCCCGACUUACCAAACCGAUGCAAACUCCGAAUACCCAGAAGUGCCGAGCAUGGGAGACACACGGCGGGUGCUAACGUCCGUCGUGAAAAGGGAAACAACCCAGACCGCCAGCUAAGGUCCCAAAGUUGUGGUUAAGUGGUAAACGAUGUGGGAAGGCUUAGACAGCUAGGAGGUUGGCUUAGAAGCAGCCAUCCUUUAAAGAAAGCGUAAUAGCUCACUAGUCGAGUCGGCCUGCGCGGAAGAUGUAACGGGGCUCAAACCACACACCGAAGCUGCGGGUGUCACGUAAGUGACGCGGUAGAGGAGCGUUCUGUAAGCCUGUGAAGGUGAGUUGAGAAGCUUGCUGGAGGUAUCAGAAGUGCGAAUGCUGACAUGAGUAACGACAAUGGGUGUGAAAAACACCCACGCCGAAAGACCAAGGGUUCCUGCGCAACGUUAAUCGACGCAGGGUUAGUCGGUUCCUAAGGCGAGGCUGAAAAGCGUAGUCGAUGGGAAACAGGUUAAUAUUCCUGUACUUCUGGUUACUGCGAUGGAGGGACGGAGAAGGCUAGGCCAGCUUGGCGUUGGUUGUCCAAGUUUAAGGUGGUAGGCUGAAAUCUUAGGUAAAUCCGGGGUUUCAAGGCCGAGAGCUGAUGACGAGUCGUCUUUUAGAUGACGAAGUGGUUGAUGCCAUGCUUCCAAGAAAAGCUUCUAAGCUUCAGGUAACCAGGAACCGUACCCCAAACCGACACAGGUGGUCGGGUAGAGAAUACCAAGGCGCUUGAGAGAACUCGGGUGAAGGAACUAGGCAAAAUGGCACCGUAACUUCGGGAGAAGGUGCGCCGGCUAGGGUGAAGGAUUUACUCCGUAAGCUCUGGCUGGUCGAAGAUACCAGGCCGCUGCGACUGUUUAUUAAAAACACAGCACUCUGCAAACACGAAAGUGGACGUAUAGGGUGUGACGCCUGCCCGGUGCCGGAAGGUUAAUUGAUGGGGUUAGCGCAAGCGAAGCUCUUGAUCGAAGCCCCGGUAAACGGCGGCCGUAACUAUAACGGUCCUAAGGUAGCGAAAUUCCUUGUCGGGUAAGUUCCGACCUGCACGAAUGGCGUAACGAUGGCGGCGCUGUCUCCACCCGAGACUCAGUGAAAUUGAAAUCGCUGUGAAGAUGCAGUGUAUCCGCGGCUAGACGGAAAGACCCCGUGAACCUUUACUGUAGCUUUGCACUGGACUUUGAGCCUGCUUGUGUAGGAUAGGUGGGAGGCUUUGAAGCGUGGACGCCAGUUCGCGUGGAGCCAUCCUUGAAAUACCACCCUGGCAUGCUU
rnacentral:rRNA from 1 species